CUGCUCAUGUCAGGGUGAGGUAGUAAGUUGUAUUGUUGUGGGGUAGGGAUUUUAGACCCCAAUAAGAAGAUAACUAUACAACUUACUACUUUCCCUGGUGUGUGGCAU
ensembl:miRNA microRNA 98